UUCCCUCUCCCCAAUUUCUUAUGUUAGUUCCCCAUUUACUUCCAUUAAUUUCGAUCUCUCAUUAAAGAUUUCGGAACAGUUCCAUUUUGUUGGACAUUUUCUCAAAAUUUCUCAACCAGCGACACACAUUCUAUUUUUCAAUUCACAGCUCACUUGACACAAUUUCACAACUCACAUAAGAUAUCCCCAAGUUCUCACUCCAUUCUAUAUCAGGAAAACAAAUGAUUUUUCAUAUAUUGUUGACGGUUAGGGUUUACAAUAAAUACAUGAAAGAAUCUCUGCAUCAACUGUUAGAGGGAUCUUUAGGUUGUGAACAGAGGGGAUUCAUCCGAUUCAUGAGGAUUUCCGACGACAAGUAACACGAGUCGUGAUUGCUGCAGAUCUGCUUCCGCUAUGAAGAAACCCGUAGACGGGAAAGCGGUCCAGACUGAUAGGAGUCACUAGCCGAGCUGAAGAGCACUCCAUCUUCCGGAGGUGCUAGUUGGUUGUUCCUUUUGUGUAUAUAUUUGUAUGUCACUCAAUAGAGGCUCAUAGAUGCUCGAUGUGGGUUGUGUGGUUCCACAACAUGGGUAGUACGCAUGUGUAUAAGUAUAUUGAAAUAUGUUUUUGUAUCAACGCGUUAUAUUUUUGUAAUG